rnacentral:rRNA from 1 species
AUGCUUUGCUUGUUUGGUUGUGUUUGCUAUGUUCUUCUUGCCCCUCGCGAACGCACCAAACUGACCGCUCAGUUUGUUGAGUGUGUCUUCUUAGGCUACAGUGAUGAGCAUAAGGGCUAUCAUUGUUGGGAUCCUAUCGUUCGUCGGAUGCGUAUCUCUCGAGACAUGACUUUUGAUGAGUCUCGUCCCUUCUAUCCACGCCCAUCUUCCUCGACCUUUUCAGUGGAGGAUAUCUCUUUCCUCACUUUUCCUGACUCACCUAUCACCCCCGUCGAGCCUGUGCCUAUUCGUUCCGCUCCCUCUGCUUCUCCACCUCUAGUCGAUUUGCUGCCACCAUCUUCCACGGUCUCCUCGUCUAGCAUGUCACCGGAUUUUACACCUUCAUCUCUGGUGACUUCUUUGUCGCCACCCCUCGAUUCUACCUUGGCGAUUCCUCCUUCUAUUGUUCCAUCUUUUCCUCAGUAUUACACUCGUCAUUCACGUCCUGUGGAUGCCUCCGUGGAUGUGUCGUCCUCUUCCUCUCAGCCUACUUACGACUUGCGUUCUCGUCCUCGUCCGCCUGUUGAUCGCUUUGGAUUUCCCACCACCGGUGCUGCUGUUCUUGAGCUGACUUCUUAUCGCCAGGCUGUUGUUCAUCCUGAAUGGCAGUUUGCGAUGGCAGAGGAGAUUGCUGCUCUUGAACGCACUGGUACCUGGGAUCUUGUUUCUCUUCCUCCCGGAGUCCGUCCCAUCACUUGUAAGUGGGUCUACAAGGUUAAGACUCGCUCUGAUGGUUCUCUUGAGUGUCACAAAGCUCGUCUUAUGGCUCGUGGUUUUCAGCAGGAGCAUGGUCGUGAUUAUGACGAGACUUUUGCUCCUGUGGCCCAUAUGACCACUGUUCGUACACUUCUUGUCAUUGCCUCUGCACGCCACUGGUCUAUAUCUCAGCUUGAUGUUAAGAAUGCUUUUCUUAAUGGUGAGCUGCAUGAGGAGGUGUACAUGCAGCCACCACCUGGGUAUUCUGUUCCUGAUGGCAUGGUAUGUCGUCUUCGUCGCUCUCUCUAUGGCCUUAAGCAAGCCCCCCGUGCCUGGUUUGAGCGUUUUGCCUCUAUGGUCACUGCUGCUGGUUUUUCAGCAAGUGCUCAUGAUCCAGCAUUGUUUAUUCACCUUUCUCCUCGUUGUCGGACUCUUCUUCUUCUCUAUGUUGAUGACAUGGUCAUCACUGGGGAUGACCCCGAGUAUAUUGCCUUUGUAAAGGCCCGUCUUAGUGAGCAGUUUCUUAUGUCUGAUCUUGGACCUCUUCGCUACUUUCUUGGGAUUGAAGUCUCUUCUACAUCUGAUGGCUUUUUUAUAUCCCAGGAAAAGUAUAUCUAG